UACAGAGGGUGCAAGCGUUGUUCGGAAUUACUGGGCGUAAAGGGCUCGUAGGCGGCCAACUAAGUCAGACGUGAAAUCCCUCGGCUUAACCGGGGAACUGCGUCUGAUACUGGAUGGCUUGAGAUUGGGAGAGGGAUGCGGAAUUCCAGGUGUAGCGGUGAAAUGCGCAGAUAUCGGGAGGAACACCAAUGGCGAAGGCAGCUCGCUGGGACGUUACUGACGCUGAGACGCGAAAGCGUGGGGAGCAAACAGG
rnacentral:rRNA from 1 species